rnacentral:rRNA from 1 species
CCCCAGCUUGCUGGGGUGAUUAGUGGCGAACGGGUGAGUAACACGUGAGUAACCUGCCCCUGACUCUGGGAUAAGCCCGGGAAACUGGGUCUAAUACCGGAUAUGACUACUGGCCGCAUGGUCUGGUCGGCGCAAAGAUUUUUUGGUUGGGGAUGGAACUCGCGGCCUAUCAGCUUGUUGGUGAGGUAGUGGGCUCACCAAGGCGACGACGGGUAGCCGGCCUGAGAGGGGUGACCGACCACACUGGAACUGAGACACGACCCAGACUCCUACGGGAGGCAGCAGUGGGGAAUAUUGCACAAUGGGCGAAAGCCUGAUGCAGCGACGCCGCGUGAGGGAUGACGGCCUUCGGGUUGUAAACCUCUUUCAGUAGGGAAGAAGCGAAAGUGACGGUACCUGCAGAAGAAGCGCCGGGCUAACUACGUGCCAGCAGCCGCGGUAAUACGUAGGGCGCAAGCGUUAUCCGGGAAUUAUUGGGCGUAAAGAGCUCGUAGGCGGUUUGUCGCGUCUGCCGUGAAAGUCCGGGGCUUAACCCCGGAUCUGCGGUGGGUACGGGCAGACUAGAGUGAUGUAGGGGAGACUGGAAUUCCUGGUGUAGCGGUGAAAUGCGCAGAUAUCAGGAGGAACACCGAUGGCGAAGGCAGGUCUCUGGGCAUUAACUGACGCUGAGGAGCGAAAGCAUGGGGAGCGAACAGGAUUAGAUACCCUGGUAGUCCAUGCCGUAAACGUUGGGCACUAGGUGUGGGGAACAUUCCACGUUUUCCGCGCCGUAGCUAACGCAUUAAGUGCCCCGCCUGGGGAGUACGGCCGCAAGGCUAAAACUCAAAGGAAUUGACGGGGGCCCGCACAAGCGGCGGAGCAUGCGGAUUAAUUCGAUGCAACGCGAAGAACCUUACCAAGGCUUGACAUGGACUGGAUCGCCGCAGAGAUGUGGUUUCCCUUCGGGGCUGGUUCACAGGUGGUGCAUGGUUGUCGUCAGCUCGUGUCGUGAGAUGUUGGGUUAAGUCCCGCAACGAGCGCAACCCUCGUUCCAUGUUGCCAGCGGGUUAUGCCGGGGACUCAUGGGAGACUGCCGGGGUCAACUCGGAGGAAGGUGAGGACGACGUCAAAUCAUCAUGCCCCUUAUGUCUUGGGCUUCACGCAUGCUACAAUGGCCGGUACAAAGGCUGGCGAUACUGGUGAGGUGGAGCUAAUCCCAAAAAGCCGGUCUUCAGUUUCGGGAAUGGGGUCUGUGCAACUCUGGAAACCCAAGUAAGUCGGAGUCGCUAGUAAUCGCAGAUCAGCAACGCUGCGGUGAAUACGUUCCCGGGCCUUGUACACACCGCCCGUCAAGUCAUGAAAGUUGGUAACACCCGAAGCCGGUGGCCUAACC